rnacentral:rRNA from 1 species
CUACGGAGGGUGCAAGCGUUACUCGGAAUCACUGGGCGUAAAGCGCGCGCAGGCGGCUUGAUAAGUUGGAUGUGAAAGCCUACGGCUCAACCGUAGAACUGCAUCCAAAACUGUCAAGCUCGAGUCUGGGAGGGGAAGAUGGAAUUAGUUGUGUAGGGGUAAAAUCCGUAGAGAUAACUAGGAAUACCAAAAGCGAAGGCGAUCUUCUGGAACAGUACUGACGCUGAGGCGCGAAAGCGUGGGGAGCAAACAGGAUUAGAAACCCCUGUAGUCC